AGUCCUUCCUGAAGUCUGCCCUGCGUGGGGCCUGCUGCCAGAAGCCUGGGCCGGAGGGGAGGGGCGAGGACGAAGUAGCGAACCGUCCGCUGGCUGUCUUAGAAGGAUGAAAAGUGAAUUCUGAGCCUGGCUGUGGGAGUAAGAGAGAGGGCAUCGGGGAAGGGAGAGGGGGGCGGGAGAGACAGAGACAAGAGGUGGGAGAGACGACAGGAAGAAGAGACAAAGGUGGGGAGACUGAGGCAGAGGAGGGAGAGAGAGAGAGACAGAAUCCAGGAGGGACAGCUGAGAGAGUCAGAUGGAGCGACAGAGACAGAGAUGGGGGAGACAGAGACACGGAGAGACAGAGAUGAUGGAGACAGAGACUGGGAGAGACAGAGAUGAUGGAGACAGAGACUGGGAGAGACAGAGAUGAUGGAGACAGAGACAGGGAGAGACAGAGAUGAUGGAGACAGAGACUGGGAGAGACAGAGAUGAUGGAGACAGAGACAGGGAGAGACAGAGAUGAUAGAGACAGAUGGCAGAGACAGAGGUAGCGGAGAGAGACUAGGAGAGACAGAGGUGGCGGAGACAGAGACGGGGAGAGACAGCAGUGGUGGAGACUGAUGGGAGAGACAGAUGGAAGAAACAGAGAGGGGAUAUGAGAGACAGAGACAAAGGCAGAGAGAUCUACAGGGAGACAGAGACAGGAGAGAUAAACAUGGGAAAGAGAGAGACAGAGAGACCCAGCGAGUGGCAGAGAUAGGGGAGUCAGGAGCGACGCAAGGGUGUGGGAGAUGGAGUCAAAGUAGGGGGUCAGAGGUGCCGAGCUGGAGGUGAGGGAGACGGGGCGAGGGGGCCGGGGAGGGGCGCUCGGGGCGGGCCUGCGAAAUCGGGGCGGGGAGGGGCGGGGCGGGCCCCGG
rnacentral:lncRNA from 1 species